GGGGAAUCUUCCGCAAUGGGCGAAAGCCUGACGGAGCAAUACCGCGUGAGGGAGGAAGGCUCCUGGGUUGUAAACCUCAAAACUUAGGGAAGAAGAAAGUGACGGUACCUAAUAUAAGCAUCGGCUAACUCCGUGCCAGCAGCCGCGGUAAUACGGAGGAUGCAAGCGUUAUCCGGAAUCAUUGGGCGUAAAGAGUCUGUAGGUGGCAUUUAAAGUCUGCUGUCAAAGACCGAAGCUCAACUUCGGGCAGGCGGUGGAAACUGAAAAGCUAGAGUAUAGUAGGGGUAGAGGGAAUUCCUAGUGUAGCGGUGAAAUGCGUAGAGAUUAGGAAGAACACCAGUGGCGAAGGCGCUCUACUGGGCAUAUACUGACACUGAGAGACGAAAGCUAGGGUAGCGAAAGGGAUUAGAUACCCCUGUAGUCCUAGCGGUAAACGAUGGAUACUAGGUGUAGUCUGUAUCGACCCAGACUGUGCCGAAGCAAACGCGUUAAGUAUCCCGCCUGGGGAGUACGCACGCAAGUGUGAAACUCAAAGGAAUUGACGGGGACCCGCACAAGCGGUGGAGUAUGUGGUUUAAUUCGAUGCAACGCGAAGAACCUUACCAAGGCUUGACAUCCUGCGAAUUUUGGGGAAACUCAGAAGUGCCUUAGGGAACGCAGAGACAGGUGGUGCAUGGCUGUCGUCAGCUCGUGUCGUGAGAUGUUGGGUUAAGUCCCGCAACGAGCGCAACCCUCGUCCUUAGUUGCCAGCAUUAAGUUGGGGACUCUAGGGAGACCGCCGGGGAGAACUCGGAGGAAGGUGGGGAUGACGUCAAGUCAGCAUGCCCCUUACGUCUUGGGCUACACACGUACUACAAUGGUUGAGACAAAGGGAAGCGAAGCCGCGAGGUGAAGCGAAUCCCAGCAAACUCAGCCCCAGUUCAGAUUGCAGGCUGAAACUCGCCUGCAUGAAGGAGGAAUCGCUAGUAAUCGCAGGUCAGCAUACUGCGGUGAAUCCGUUCCCGGGUCUUGUACACACCGCCCGUCACACCAUGGAAGUUGGUCACGCCCGAAGUCGUUACUCCAACUGUAAAAAGAGGAGGAUGCCGAAGG
rnacentral:misc_RNA from 1 species